rnacentral:rRNA from 1 species
AGUGAACGCUGGCGGUAGGCCUAACACAUGCAAGUCGAACGGCAGCACGGUAAGAGCUUGCUCUUACGGGUGGCGAGUGGCGGACGGGUGAGGAAUACAUCGGAAUCUACUUUUUCGUGGGGGAUAACGUAGGGAAACUUACGCUAAUACCGCAUACGACCUACGGGUGAAAGCAGGGGAUCUUCGGACCUUGCGCGAUUGAAUUAGCCGAUGUCGGAUUAGCUAGUUGGCGGGGUAAAGGCCCACCAAGGCGACGAUCCGUAGCUGGUCUGAGAGGAUGAUCAGCCACACUGGAACUGAGACACGGUCCAGACUCCUACGGGAGGCAGCAGUGGGGAAUAUUGGACAAUGGGCGCAAGCCUGAUCCAGCCAUACCGCGUGGGUGAAGAAGGCCUUCGGGUUGUAAAGCCCUUUUGUUGGGAAAGAAAAGCAGCAGGUUAAUACCCCGCUGUUCUGACGGUACCCAAAGAAUAAGCACCGGCUAACUUCGUG